rnacentral:rRNA from 1 species
AACGAACGCUGGCGGCAGGCUUAACACAUGCAAGUCGAGCGCCCCGCAAGGGGAGCGGCAGACGGGUGAGUAACGCGUGGGAAUCUACCCAUCUCUACGGAAUAACGCAUGGAAACGUGUGCUAAUACCGUAUACGUCCUUCGGGAGAAAGAUUUAUCGGAGAUGGAUGAGCCCGCGUUGGAUUAGCUAGUUAGUGGGGUAAAGGCCUACCAAGGCGACGAUCCAUAGCUGGUCUGAGAGGAUGAUCAGCCACACUGGGACUGAGACACGGCCCAGACUCCUACGGGAGGCAGCAGUGGGGAAUAUUGGACAAGGGGCGCAAGCCUGAUCCAGCCAUGCCGCGUGAGUGGGGAAGGCCCUAGGGUUGUAAAGCUCUUUCACCGGUGAAGAUAAUGACGGUAACCGGAGAAGAAGCCCCGGCUAACUUCGUGCCAGCCGCCGCCGUAAGAC